AGAGUUUGAUCCUGGCUCAGAACGAACGCUGGCGGCGCGUUUUAAGCAUGCAAGUCGAACGGCAGUCGCGGGGCAACCUGCGACGAGAGUGGCGAACGGGUGAGUAAUACGCAGGUGAUCUGCCCUUGGAUGUGGGAUAGUCCGUGGAAACACGGGGUAAUACCGCAUGAGGCCCCUGGUGUAAAGGCUGGGGGUGAAAGCUUCAAUUGGAGCGUCUGGGGAUGAGCCUGUGGCCCAUUAGGUAGUUGGUGGGGUAAAGGCCUACCAAGCCGACGAUGGGUAGCCGGCCUGAGAGGGUGUACGGCCACACUGGAACUGGGACACGGUCCAGACUCCUACGGGAGGCAGCAGCUAAGAAUCUUCCGCAAUGGGGGAAACCCUGACGGAGCGACGCCGCGUGGAUGAUGAAGGCCGUAAGGUUGUAAAAUCCUUUUCCUGGUGAAGAAUAAGCGGGGGAGUGGAAAGCCGCCGUGAUGACGUUAACCAGGGAAUAAGCCCCGGCCAAUUACGUGCCAGCAGCCGCGGUAAUACGUAUGGGGCAAGCGUUGUUCGGAGUUAUUGGGCGUAAAGGGCGUGUAGGCGGCCCGUCAAGUCUGGUGUGAAAUCGCAGGGCUCAACCCUGCGUAUGCGCUGGAAACUGACAGGCUGGAGUCCUGAGGGGGAAACUGGAAUUCCUGGUGUAGGAGUGAAAUCUGUAGAUAUCAGGAAGAACACCGGUGGCGAAGGCGAGUUUCUACUCAUGGACUGACGCUGAGGCGCGAAAGCGUGGGGAGCAAACAGGAUUAGAUACCCUGGUAGUCC
rnacentral:rRNA from 1 species